AGCGGCGGACGGGUGAGUAACGCGUGGGUAACCUGCCCUAUACACACGGAUAACAUACCGAAAGGUAUGCUAAUACGAGAUAAUAUAAGAGAUUCACAUGGAUUUCUUAUCAAAGCUGAGGCGGUAUAGGAUGGACCCGCGUCUGAUUAGCUAGUUGGUAAGGUAACGGCUUACCAAGGCGACGAUCAGUAGCCGACCCGAGAGGGUGAUCGGCCACAUUGGAACUGAGACACGGUCCAAACUCCUACGGGAGGCAGCAGUGGGGAAUAUUGCACAAUGGGCGAAAGCCUGAUGCAGCAACGCCGCGUGAGUGAUGAAGGCCUUCGGGUCGUAAAACUCUGUCCUCAAGGAAGAUAAUGACGGUACUUGAGGAGGAAGCCCCGGCUAACUACGUGCCAGCAGCCGCGGUAAUACGUAGGGGGCUAGCGUUAUCCGGAUUUACUGGGCGUAAAGGGUGCGUAGGAGGUCUCUUAAGUCAGGAGUGAAAGGCUACGGCUUAACCGUAGUGAGCUCUUGAAACUGGGAGACUUGAGUGCAGGAGAGGAAAGUGGAAUUCCUAGUGUAGCGGUGAAAUGCGUAGAUAUUAGGAGGAACACCAGUAGCGAAGGCGGCUUUCUGGACUGUAACUGACACUGAGGCACGAAAGCGUGGGGAGCAAACAGGAUUAGAUACCCUGGUAGUCCACGCCGUAAACGAUGAGUACUAGGUGU
rnacentral:rRNA from 1 species